rnacentral:rRNA from 1 species
GAUGAACGCUAGCGGCAGGCUUAAUACAUGCAAGUCGAGGGGCAGCAGUUUUGUAGCAAUACAGAAGCUGGCGACCGGCAAACGGGUGCGGAACACGUACGCAACCUUCCCUUAACUGGGAGAUAGCCCACCGAAAGGUGGAUUAAUAUCCCAUAGUAUAUUUGAGUGGCAUCACUUAGAUAUUAAAGCUCCGGCGGUUAAAGAUGGGCGUGCGUCUGAUUAGGUAGUUGGCGGGGUAACGGCCCACCAAGCCCACGAUCAGUAGCUGAUGUGAGAGCAUGAUCAGCCACACGGGCACUGAGACACGGGCCCGACUCCUACGGGAGGCAGCAGUAAGGAAUAUUGGUCAAUGGACGCAAGUCUGAACCAGCCAUGCCGCGUGGAGGAUGAAGGUCCUCUGGAUUGUAAACUUCUUUUCUUUGGGACGAAACCCCUGUUUCUACGGGGACUGACGGUACCAGAGGAAUAAGCACCGGCUAACUCCGUGCCAGCCGCCGCAGUAAUAC